AACGAACACUGGCGGCAGGCCUAACACAUGCAAGUCGAGCGGGACCUUCGGGUCUAGCGGCGGACGGGUUAGUAACGCGUGGGAACGUGCCCAAAGGUACGGAAUAGCCUCGGGAAACUGAGAGUAAUACCGUAUGUGCCCCUCGGGGGAAAGAUUUAUCGCCUUUGGAUCGGCCCGCGUUGGAUUAGGUAGUUGGUGGGGUAAUGGCUUACCAAGGCGAAGACGGGUAGCUGGUUUGAGAGAAUGAUCAGCCACACUGGCACUGGAACACGGGCCAGACUCCUACGGGAGGCAGCAGUGAGGAAUAUUGGGCAAUGGGCGAAAGCCUGACCCAGCCACGCCGCGUGAGUGAUGAAGGCCCUCGGGUCGUAAAGCUCUGUGGAGAGGGACGAAAACCCUGGUUUCAAAUAGGCUCCAGGCUUGACGGUACCUCUUUAGCAAGCACCGGCUAACUCUGUGCCAGCAGCCGCGGUAAUGUGGGACUGU
rnacentral:rRNA from 1 species